rnacentral:lncRNA from 1 species
GUCUACUCAGGAGUAAUCUUCCUUAACCCUUUAAAAUUUUUAAUUCAUAUGGAAGUAUCUUCAUGUUAGUUAUUCAUUAAAAUAUCAGUGUCCUACAGUUGGUAUUACAUAUUUAAUUUUUAAAUGUUGAAGCCCCAUGAUGAAUAAUAAAAAAUGUUAUAUAAUUAGAAGACUAAAAAGGGGCUUGUCAUACAAUCUUUGUGAAUAUACUUCAUGUUAUUUGACCAGAAAUGUCAUCCCUAAAAAUUUUGAGUAGUAAUUAUUUACCAAACUCUGUGCUUGCUUUUUAAGUAGACGUCAUAGCUUGAGAAUGCCGUAGUCAUUUUUCCAAAGCGAGCACACUGUACUGUUAAUUUGUUAAGAGUAGGUUAAGGCUUUGGGAGGUGGUUACAGAGCUUAAAGACGUCUGGGGAGCCUGCUCAGCAGUGGGAGGUGAACGGGUGUCCAGG